rnacentral:rRNA from 1 species
GUAGGUGGCAAGCGUUGUCCGGAAUUAUUGGGCGUAAAGCGCGCGCAGGCGGUCCUUUAAGUCUGAUGUGAAAGCCCACGGCUCAACCGUGGAGGGUCAUUGGAAACUGGGGGACUUGAGUACAGAAGAGGAAAGCGGAAUUCCAAGUGUAGCGGUGAAAUGCGUAGAGAUUUGGAGGAACACCAGUGGCGAAGGCGGCUUUCUGGUCUGUAACUGACGCUGAGGCGCGAAAGCGUGGGGAGCAAACAGGGAUUAGAUACCCUGGUAGUCCACGCCGUAAAUGAUGAGUGCUAGGUGUUAGGGGGUUUCCGCCCCCUUAGUGCUGCAGCUAACGCAUUAAGCACUCCGCCUGGGGAGUACGGCCGCAAGGCUG